UUCGUAGGCGGUUUGUUAAGUCUGACGUUAAAGAUCAGGGCUCAACCCUGGGAUUGCUUCGGAUACUGGCAGACUGGAGUAUGGUAGAGGUAAGUGGAAUUUCUGGUGUAGCGGUGAAAUGCGUAGAUAUCAGGAAGAACACCGGUGGCAUAGGCGACUUACUGGGCCAUAACUGACGCUGAGGAACGAAAGCCAGGGGAGCGAAUGGGAUUAGAUACCCCAGUAGUCCUGGCUGUAAACGAUGGAUACUAGGUGUAGCGGGUAUCGACCCCUGCUGUACCGCAGCUAACGCGUUAAGUAUCCCGCCUGAGUAGUACGGCCGCAAGGUUGAA
rnacentral:rRNA from 1 species